rnacentral:rRNA from 3 species
GAUCAAGUGUCUUAAGGGCAAUUGGUGGAUGCCUUGGCAUGCACAGGCGAUGAAGGACGUGAUACGCUGCGAUAAGCUACGGGGAGGUGCGAAUACCCUUUGAUCCGUAGAUUUCCGAAUGGGGAAACCCACCUAAGGUGCUUGGAAAAUCAGAGUAGCAGGGCAACCUGCUGCUGUGGUUUCCAAGUAUCGAUAAUAGGUAACUUACCCUGAAUAAAAUAGGGGUAAAGUGGCGAACGCGGGGAACUGAAACAUCUAAGUACCCGUAGGAAAGGACAUCAACCGAGACUCCGGCAGUAGUGGCGAGCGAACCCGGACCAGGCCAGUGGCGAUGAUGAGACAAGCGGAACCUUCUGGAAAGUAGGGCCAUAGUGGGUGACAGCCCCGUACGCGUAAUGCAAAUCAUCGUCCUCGAGUAAGGCGGGACACGUGAAAUCCUGUCUGAAAUUGGGGGGACCACCCUCCAAGCCUAAGUACUCGUGCAUGACCGAUAGCGAACUAGUACCGUGAGGGAAAGGUGAAAAGCACCCCGACAAGGGGAGUGAAAGAGUACCUGAAACCGAUUGCCUACAAACAGUGGGAGUCCAAGGUUCGUCCUGGGUGACCACGUACCUUUUGUAUAAUGGGUCAGCGACUUAGUGUGACGAGCAAGCUUAAACCGCUAGGUGUAGGCGCAGCGAAAGCGAGUCUGAACAGGGCGUUCAGUUCGUCGCAUUAGACCCGAAACCGAGUGAUCUAGCCAUGAGCAGGUUGAAGGUAAGGUAACACUUACUGGAGGACCGAACCCAUAACUGUUGCAAUAGUUCGGGAUGACUUGUGGCUAGGGGUGAAAGGCCAAUCAAACUCGGAAAUAGCUGGUUCUCCGCGAAAUCUAUUUAGGUAGAGCGUCGACCGAAUACCCCAGGGGGUAGAGCACUGGAUGGGCUAGGGGUCCUCACCGGAUUACCAAACCUAACCAAACUCCGAAUACCUGGGAGUACUAGUCGGCAGACACACGGCGGGUGCUAACGUCCGUCGUGAAAAGGGAAACAACCCUGACCUACAGCUAAGGUCCCCAAGUUAUGGCUAAGUGGGAAAGGAUGUGAGGAUCCCAAAACAACCAGGAUGUUGGCUUAGAAGCAGCCAUCAUUUAAAGAAAGCGUAACAGCUCACUGGUCUAAAUAAGGGUCUUUGCGCCGAAAAUGUAACGGGGCUCAAGCCAUACACCGAAGCUUAGGGUUCGUGAGCAAUCACGAGCGGUAGCGGAGCGUUCUGUAAGCUGAUGAAGCCAUACCCGUGAGGGGUGGUGGAGGUAUCAGAAGUGCGAAUGCUGACAUGAGUAACGUAAGGGGAGUGAGAGACUCCCCCGCCGAAAGUCCAAGGGUUCCUGCUUAAAGCUAAUCUGAGCAGGGUUAGCCGGCCCCUAAGUCGAGGCAGAAAUGCGUAGACGAUGGGAACCACGUUAAUAUUCGUGGGCCUGGAGGAAGUGACGGAUCAUUGAGGUAGUCCAAUCUUAUCGGAUUGAAAGGGCUGCUGCGUGGUUCCAGGAAAUAGCUCCUCCUUAUAGACCGUACCCGAAACCGACACUGGUGGACUGGUAGAGUAUACCAAGGCGCUUGAGAGAACUAUGCUGAAGGAACUCGGCAAAUUGCACGCGUAACUUCGGAAGAAGCGUGACCCUUUUCCACGCAAGUGGAGGAGGGUGGCACAGACCAGGGGGUAGCGACUGUUUAUCAAAAACACAGGGCUCUGCGAAGUCGCAAGACGACGUAUAGGGUCUGACGCCUGCCCGGUGCUGGAAGGUUAAGAGGAGGGGUGCAAGCUCUGAAUCGAAGCCCCAGUAAACGGCGGCCGUAACUAUAACGGUCCUAAGGUAGCGAAAUUCCUUGUCGGGUAAGUUCCGACCUGCACGAAUGGCGUAACGACUUCCCCGCUGUCUCCAGCAUAGACUCAGUGAAAUUGAAUUCCCCGUGAAGAUGCGGGGUUCCUGCGGUUAGACGGAAAGACCCCGUGCACCUUUACUAUAGCUUUACAUUGGCAUUCGUAGUGGCAUGUGUAGGAUAGGUGGUAGGCUUUGAAACCUGGGCGCCAGCUCAGGUGGAGCCACCCUUGAAAUACCACCCUUAUCACUAUGGAUGUCUAACCGCGGCCCGUUAUCCGGGUCCGGGACAAUGUAUGGUGGGUAGUUUGACUGGGGCGGUCGCCUCCUAAAGAGUAACGGAGGCGCGCGAUGGUGGGCUCAGAACGGUCGGAAAUCGUUCGCUGAGUGCAAUGGCAUAAGCCUGCCUGACUGCGAGACUGACAAGUCGAGCAGAGACGAAAGUCGGUCAUAGUGAUCCGGUGGUCCCGCGUGGAAGGGCCAUCGCUCAACGGAUAAAAGGUACGCCGGGGAUAACAGGCUGAUGACCCCCAAGAGUCCAUAUCGACGGGGUUGUUUGGCACCUCGAUGUCGACUCAUCGCAUCCUGGGGCUGGAGCAGGUCCCAAGGGUAUGGCUGUUCGCCAUUUAAAGCGGUACGUGAGUUGGGUUCAGAACGUCGUGAGACAGUUCGGUCCCUAUCUGCCGUGGGUGUAGGAAUAUUGAAAGGAUCUGUCCCUAGUACGAGAGGACCGGGAUGGACGGAUCUCUGGUGGACCUGUUGUGGCGCCAGCCGCAUAGCAGGGUAGCUAUAUCCGGACGGGAUAACCGCUGAAGGCAUCUAAGCGGGAAACCCACCUUAAAACGAGUAUUCCCUGAGAACCGUGGAAGACGACCACGUUGAUAGGCCGGGUGUGGAAGAGCGGCAACGCUUGAAGCUUACCGGUACUAAUAGUUCGAUCGGCUUGAUCGUUCUCAUU